UACGAAGGGGGCUAGCGUUGUUCGGAUUUACUGGGCGUAAAGCGCACGUAGGCGGACUAUUAAGUCAGGGGUGAAAUCCCGGGGCUCAACCCCGGAACUGCCUUUGAUACUGGUAGUCUUGAGUUCGAGAGAGGUGAGUGGAAUUCCAGGUGUAGCGGUGAAAUGCGUAGAUAUCUGGAGGAACACCGGUGGCGAAGGCGGCAUCCUGGACCGGCAUUGACGCUGAGGCGCGAAAGCUAGGGGAGCAAACGGG
rnacentral:rRNA from 1 species